ACGGAGAUACGAGAGCUUGCUUUUGUAUCUUAGUGGCGGAGGGCGAGUAACGCGUGAGCAACCUACCCUUAAGUGGGGAAUAACGUUUGGAAACGAACGCUAAUACCGCAUAAAGCAGCAUUUCCGCAUGGGAGAGCUGCCAAAGGAUUUAUUCGCUUAAGGAUGGGCUCGCGUCCGAUUAGCUAGUUGGUGAGGUAAGGGCUCACCAAGGCGACGAUCGGUAGCCGAACUGAGAGGUUGAUCGGCCGCAUUGGGACUGAGACACGGCCCAGACUCCUACGGGAGGCAGCAGUGGGGGAUAUUGCACAAUGGGGGAAACCCUGAUGCAGCAAUGCCGCGUGAGGGAAGAAGGUCUUCGGAUUGUAAACCUAAGUAGUCAGGGACGAUAAUGACGGUACCUGAAGAGUAAGCUCCGGCUAACUACGUGCCAGCAGCCGCGGUAAUACGUAGGGAGCGAGCGUUGUCCGGAAUUACUGGGUGUAAAGGGUGCGUAGGCGGGAUGGCAAGUCAGGCGUGAAAUACCGGGGCUUAACUCCGGGGCUGCGCUUGAAACUGUCGUUCUUGAGUGAAGUAGAGGCAGGCGGAAUUCCUAGUGUAGCGGUGAAAUGCGUAGAUAUUAGGAGGAACACCAGUGGCGAAG
rnacentral:rRNA from 1 species